AACUUUGUCUUUUCCUAAGAAUCUGUAGAGCCAAUUUCGAAAAGGAAAUCUAAUUACGAUCUGGAAAUCGAGAGGGUUGCGACGAGUGAGCUUCUCUUCCUCAGAAGCCAUAGACACCACCUGCAACUGCUUCCUUGUCCUGCGGCUCAGAGGGAAGCGUUGAACGGAGAUGAAAGGGCUACCGAUAGAAGAAGCAGCUCCGUUUAGCGACGGUGAAGAUAGUGGCAGAGAGAGAAGUGGCAACGGUGACUAAAGCGAUGCCGAUACAUGAAGCGGCGCCGUAGCUCCUCAGCCUCUCUGUCUUCUAUGAUUCUAUCGGAGCAUAUGACAGCGACGAAGCAGCAGCACAUACUGGGGACCCGACACACCAUCUUUUAUUUUCUGUGUUUGUGCAGAAGAACACUCCGUCCCUAUCAGUGCCACAGUUUGGUGAUUGGGACCAAAAAAGAGGAGGAACAUUGCCUGACUACUCUCUGGAUUUGACUAAGAUUGAAGAGAUGAGGAAACAAAAAAAAAGAGACCCUUCUCCAGCCAGUUUAGGCAACGAGGAUGAUGAGCUCAUUAAGCCACCCGACUCAGCUACUUCCACAACUGCUAAAUUCACAAAAUUGUUUAUGUCAAGGUAUUCCCCCUCUUUAAUAUAUUUCCUCAUAUGAAUCCUAAAAACUCUAGAAAGUAAUUUGCCUUUUGAGUUGUCUUGUAAUUGCUGUCUUUUGUUUGGUUUAUCUGAUGUUUUUCAAAAAAUUGAAUCGUUAUUUGACACAGCCUUUCUGGUCAAUAAUUUGAAAAAAACUUCGCCUUUCAAAACAAAACAUUCUAGGGCCUUACAAAACUGCAGCCCUUCACAGUAAUAC